CCUAGGGGUGGCAGCAGUGGGGAAUAUUGCUCAAUGGGCGAAAGCCUGACGCAGCGAAGCCGCGUGAGGGAUGAAGGUCUUCUGAUCGUAAACCUCUGUCAGCAGGGAAGAAAGGUCACUGUGCUAAUCAGCAGUGAAUUGACGGUACCUGCAAAGGAAGCACCGGCUAACUCCGUGCCAGCAGCCGCGGUAAUACGGAGGGUGCGAGCGUUAAUCGGAUUUACUGGGUGUAAGGGGCGCGUAGGCGGUAUGUCAAGUCAAGGGUGAAAUCCCCGGGCUCAACGUGGGAACUGCCUUUGAAACUGGCAAACUUGAGUGCGUGAGAGGAUAGUGGAAUUCCAGGUGUAGGAGUGAAAUCCGUAGAUAUCUGGAGGAACAUCAGUGGCGAAGGCGACUAUCUGGCACAUAACUGACGCUGAGGAGCGAAAGCGUGGGUAGCAAACAGGAUUAGAUACCCGUGUAGUC
rnacentral:rRNA from 1 species